rnacentral:rRNA from 1 species
GUGGGGAAUAUUGCACAAUGGGGGAAACCCUGAUGCAGCAACGCCGCGUGAGUGAUGAAGGCCUUCGGGUUGUAAAGCUCUGUCUUCAGGGACGAUAAUGACGGUACCUGAGGAGGAAGCCACGGCUAACUACGUGCCAGCAGCCGCGGUAAUACGUAGGUGGCAAGCGUUGUCCGGAUUUACUGGGCGUAAAGGGAGCGUAGGCGGACUUUUAAGUGAGAUGUGAAAUACCCGGGCUCAACCUGGGUGCUGCAUUUCAAACUGGAAGUCUAGAGUGCAGGAGAGGAGAAUGGAAUUCCUAGUGUAGCGGUGAAAUGCGUAGAGAUUAGGAAGAACACCAGUGGCGAAGGCGAUUCUCUGGACUGUAACUGACGCUGAGGCUCGAAAGCGUGGGGAGCAAACAGGAUUAGAAACCCCUGUAGUCC